GACGAACGCUGGCGGCGUGCCUAAUACAUGCAAGUAGAACGCUGAAGGAGGAGCUUGCUUCUCUGGAUGAGUUGCGAACGGGUGAGUAACGCGUAGGUAACCUGCCUGGUAGCGGGGGAUAACUAUUGGAAACGAUAGCUAAUACCGCAUAAUAGUAGAUGUUGCAUGACAUUUGCUUAAAAGGUGCAAUUGCAUCACUACCAGAUGGAUCUGCGUUGUAUUAGCUAGUUGGUGGGGUAACGGCUCACCAAGGCGACGAUACAUAGCCGACCUGAGAGGGUGAUCGGCCACACUGGGACUGAGACACGGCCCAGACUCCUACGGGAGGCAGCAGUAGGGAAUCUUCGGCAAUGGACGGAAGUCUGACCGAGCAACGCCGCGUGAGUGAAGAAGGUUUUCGGAUCGUAAAGCUCUGUUGUAAGAGAAGAACGAGUGUGAGAGUGGAAAGUUCACACUGUGACGGUAUCUUACCAGAAAGGGACGGCUAACUACGUG
rnacentral:rRNA from 1 species